AAUUCACCUUCUGACCCACCCACAGAGGGUCACCUUCACCUACCAAUCAAUGACAGAAUUUUGGGAGAAAGACUACAGUAUGUGAAGCUGUGCAGCUGUUUCAAUGAGUUACUGAUCCAUCUUCAUUCACUGAGUGAUGAUUGUAUGUGGAGCUUGACACAUAAAUACAGCUACAUUUCUUGUACUCUCCACAGAAAGAAAGAUUACCUACAGCCAUAAAAAGGGCUGGCUUCACAAGAGCAAAGCUGAGGGAAACAUGUAGAUGGCAAGAUGGUGGAGAGACCUCACAAGUUGGAGCCAUCUUUAUAAGAUAACACCUUGAUCCUGUAGCAGAAGUCUCAUUUUGGUGAAAAGUAGUAACGUCACUUGUUUAAA